CUUCCAUUUCCACCCGAAUUGCUGUUCCAUUCGGAUAAACGAAUAUCCCGUCUCGUGAGAAGCGUAAUUUCCACAAGCGAGUGAGUGGGUCCCUCAAGAGACGAAAAAAAAAAAAAACACACGAUGACGACGACAGAGCGCGGAGAAUAGGAAGCAAAGAGCAACAAUUACGGCCGUUAUAGCUCUUGUUACUAUAAUGACGAACGCAAAAAGGACAAGGCUGAGCGGCAGCACAACAGACUUCCUCACCCUUUGCAGACUUUAUUUUUCCAUUCCCCAAUUGAGACUGAAGGCCGACUGUGGCUGAAGUCAAGGAAAAUAACGAAAAGCCAGUACUCGCCACCACCCCGGCGGUUAGGCUGAAAAAGCGAAUCCACAAAUUAAGGAGCGACGGUCAACGAGGCCCACUGAGGUAUCUGGGUUGGCCCUAAUCUCGCGACAAGCUGAACAGAACAUAGCCAGGUUUAGUGGAAAGGACGGAUGAAAAAUGGUAUAAUUCUAGGGGAAACGGAAGAACGACCAGAGCGGUGGCAACGGCUGAAGCUGACGUGGCAGCAACGAAAAAUUGCUACGCGAAAAAUAUACGCAGAAAUGUAUUUCAGAUUUUUCGAUGGUAGAAUUUGUGUAACUUUGGUAUGUGUGGUUUAUGCUUCGGAUGUUAACGGAUCAUGCUUCCUUCGGUACGUCGACCUGCUGGCUAUUCCAUACAGCACAUGGUCCGUUUUACACCGUCGAGCAAGCUCCUCAGAAUAGGCGCUGUCUCAAGGUUAAAUUCGUGUCCAAACAGGACAAGCCUAAGCACGGUUUGUAGAUUGAUGUGCUCGGUUGGCUUGACAAGAACUGCGAAAGGCUAUUGCGGAAAAAUAUCGUCGCCUAAUGAAGGUCACUUCGAUUAGUCUCACAAAAGAUCUUAUGGAUCCAUUCCCGUGUCAUGGAACUAAAAGCCAUAGUAGGAACAGAAAUGACCGUGACUGGCUGAUUUUAACUGGUAUGAAAAGAGUGCCUUGAGAACCAAAAGGCCAAGGGAACCGCUGUCAGAAACACAGUGAGAAGACCGCAGGUUCCAUCAGCUCAUAUUAGUGCCUCAGCUCUCGGAUAAGCCAAGGCAAGCCCGUGGCCGGCUGAGCCAUUUCUGCGCGAAGGAAGGGAUUCCAGCUAGCAGGACCGGUUUGAUUAGAAUUUAAUGGAAUGAUAGUGAUUAUGUGACGAUAAACUAUUCAAAUGGAAUAGGCGAAUGCUGGAUGUAUAAUUUAGAAGCACAGGGAAAAAGCUUAUCGGCUUAAUUAUCGCGAACGUAACUGUUUGAUAGCC